UCAGUUUGAUUAUGACAAUUUCAAAAUGAAUUGACUAUUUUAUUUUUAGAAAAUUGUAAAAUUAAACCGUACGUCUUAAAUUAAAAAGUUACAUGAAGCAACAUGCUGUCCUUCAUUUAUAGAACAAUCGGCAAUCUUCUAGGUGAAGAUAGAAAAAUAGUUGAAGAAGAUAACGAUUUUGAGUCCGGAUUUUUCUUGGACAUUGGAAUACAAUGGGUAUAUGAAUUUAGAAAAUUAUUAAUACCAGAAGAAUACAGAUUGGGUAAAAAAUGUCGAUUGAUUGCCGAGUUAUGCGACUCACACGGUACCAGAUGCAAAACGUAAUUGCUGAUUGAACUUCAUCCUUAAAUUUAUAUUUUACAUACAAUAUGUUCUUUUGCAAUAAGUGACUAUUUUCGAUUGUAUAAUUACACUUUUCUAAAAAUUUAAA